UAACCAGAUCGACGACUAGGAUCAAAUGUUCUGCCAGCAGACGCCGAUGGUCUCCGCCGCCGCCAUCUCCGCCGCCUCCUUGACACAAGGCCAUCACCAUUGCGCCCCACUCCGGCGUGCCUGAUGCACUUCGGCCAUGGCAGUCGUUGCCACCUGACUCUAUCCUCGGGAUCUCAUCCUACUGUCCUGGAUCGGGGCAGCAGUGGCGAUUUGGAUCCGGGCGGCGGCGGCUGAGCAAGGGCACCGGUGCUGUCUAGGUACAUAUCUUCCCUCUCUCCCUUCCUCCCUCCCUCUCUCUGCCCCGCCGGGGUCGCUGUGAGCCCGUGACGGUGGACUGGUGGGGAACUCCGGUGGAACGGCAAGGGGACAGCGAGGAACGGCAAGCACGGGUGCUCUGCUGGCGGAGGCAUGUUUCGGGGACGGGGAGACCUCCGGCCGUGGGGAAUGAAGAGAGCUUUGGAUGCAAACUGAAUUUCAUCUCUCUUUGUUCUUUUUUCUGCUGAUGGCACAGAAGAACAUUGGUAAUGUUGAGCUGGCAAAGAGAAGUAGCAGACUAAUUUCUAUGUCGACUAGAUGAUGAUUUGCUCCCUGUAUGUGGUUUCCUCUGUAUUCUUUAUAUGAUGUUAUUUUGUGAUCCUUGAGUACGGAAAUAGCAUGGUGUGCAGCGUUGCCCUUGUGAGCAAUCUCUGAUGCUACUGAUGUUUAUAUAUGUAUUACUUAUGACACUAGGAUUCAAUCCUCACCGAAGAUUGAAUUCCAUCUUCUUGGUUAGAAUGCACAAAGGAUUUGAAUUGUGAAUCUUGCAAGGACAUUUAUUUUGUGAAAUUUAACAUGACUAAUUUGAGACCAGCAAAGAGGAUUGGGCCCGAAGAAAUGCUGAUAUUGAGCUAGGUUGGCAAGGCGAUAUGUCGAGCUCUGUGUAGCCUGCUUUCAAUGGCUUAUUUAAACAGGUGUCCCCUUUUCCUUUGUAUGUGUUUUCGAGUCUCAUUUCAUGUAAAAAUAGCCUGUAGAUGUCCUGCGGUGUGAUUUUAUUUUUCGAGUUCAGCUCUGUGCUAUCAUAGAAUUCAGCUUAGGGAGAUCAAGAAGAUGUUUCAUAUGUCAGCACAACUACUGGAGGAUUUGCAGGUGAGGAACUAUUAUAUGAGUUUGGAUGACCAAAUAUUAGUAGUACAUCAAAAUCUACGGCUUUAUAUAGUUUGUCACAUACUGUCUUAUUUCAUAUAUGAUGACCAUAUCAAUCAAGUGUUUGUUAUUUUUCAUUCAGAGUGUACAUUGAUUCCAGUGUAGCAAGAACAGAAAAUAAGGUACUCUCUAAAUAAUGUGUGAGGUUUCAGAUUCUGUAAUUUGUUUUACUGUUGCUAACUGAGCAUGCUUAGAUAAUGUGGUGAUUUGAGUGGAGUUUCAGAGUCGACCGUUCAUGUCUGCAGUCUCAAGUUUCUAUAUGUAUAGUUUGAGACCUAAUAAGUACUGAUCAUUUCAGAAAGUUUCAUGUUUCAUACUUAUGAUUGAUACUGAUUGUAUUCACGUAAUUGGGCCACUUGGAUACGGUGGUUGGCUAACUAAUAAGUAAGAUGUACCCAGUUCUGCAUAAAGAUUUAGGCACCCUAAUUUCUUAAGUCUUUGUGGAGUCAGAGGUGUUGAAUGUUUUUGUUCGAAGUUUUUUUGAAAUGAUGAGUGAUGCAUACCUAUUCAAUGUUUUACAUGGUACUGCAAGUGAAGAAAUGAUUUGUACUGAACCAUCUAAUGGGUUAUUGUGUUUCUUUGAAGUCAUGAAUUUGUAGCAACUGACGCCCUCAUUGGCAUUCUUUUUGAAAGAUAUCCAAGAUAGUUAAAGCAUUGUGGGGACGAGGAGGCCGAGCAGUCCGUUGUGUCUCCGCCGUCGCCGGCCGCACCGGUAUGUUGUGCCCCUUUCCCUGCUUCACGUCCUAGGCUACUCCACCCCCACUGGAUACGAGUGUGGCCAUGACAGAGGAAUCUUGUGCAGGGGGAUUUGAUGCAUAGCAUGUUAUGUACAUGCAAUGGAAAUGUUACACAGUGAAACACAUUUUGAUCUUCUAAUAUUAAUAUGCAUUGCUGGCAUGAAGGUUAUUAUUUGUUGUUUCACACACACACAAGGUUAUUAUUUGUUGUUUCACACAUUGUAUUGGGGAAAAAAUUAGGACUAAAGGUUUUGGUAUGUCUGAUUGUCGACAUGCCACCGGAGGUGCAUGAUUGUCUGAUAGGCUUGAAUUCUUAAGUUUUCUUUCUUAUUGGUCUUGUUUGUUUUUAUUUUGUUGAAAACCCAUGAUUUUACCAUAACCCAAAAUUGCUGAGUUAAAUGGAGAGGCUCAAUGAGAAGUUUCGGGACAUGGAAGAAAUUGAUUGUUCUAAUUUAAGUAAUAUAAAAAGAAAAGUAGUAUUUUCUAUUAGUAACAUAUGUCUAUAAUAUUAUGAUUUACCUCUGCUAAUAGGUGUCGUCGUUGAAAAGAAGCAUGCCCAAAUUUGUAAGCCCAUAUUGGUAUUACUUUCCAGUAAUCAACAUCCAACAAAAUAUAUAUUUAUGAAUGAUCUAUUAUCUUGCCAUGAAUAACAAUGAUAAAUUUGUUGUUGACUCAUGUUAUAUCCUCACAAAUAAAGUGCCACAUGGAACUUUCUCUAUCAGUUCAGGCUGGAUGGGCAAGACGACAUACUGCAGACCGGGACCAAGAGUUAUGUUCAUUAUCAGUGAUAUGUGUUAAUACUCUCCUAGAGAUUGAUUUUUUUGCGAUCGCAAAAAAAGGAGCCAGAUACAUGGCGAGCUUCCAAAUAUCAAGUUGCAAGUACCUUCGUUGCUUUGGACCUUGCCAUGGAAGGAUGAACACUAAAUGACCACAAAAUGCCUCUAGAUUAUGAGUGCUGCAGCUUGGUUUGCUGACUAGCAAUGUUUUGUUUCUUUGGUGGACAAACUUGUAUCUCAGAACGUUGACGAAUUAUUUCAUUUGAUCAGCUUAUGUGGAAACUACUAAUUUUCAUUGCCUCUGUACACACACUUGCAUAUCUUUUUUCCUGGUGCUUAUUGGCAAUGGCCCACUCAUAGGCACGACCUAGAAGAAAAUAAGAUUGAAGAUGUAUUUUUCUUGGUUG